GUCCCAGACCUUGAAUUUUUGGCUUGGUAUGUCCUUGUUUCUACUGAUUUCAAUCUGAGCACUGUGCAGUGGGGUUUCCAGUUGCAGCUGGGAUUAAUCAAACUAUCUGAUCCAGGUGUAGAUGAGCUCCUUCUCCAGCACCUUGUCUACCAGUGUGCAGCCAUGCUUCCUGUCAUGACAAUAAUGGACUAAGUCUCUGAACGAUAAAUGUUCUACACGUGCAUAAAAAGCCCGACUGUCCAGAUGUGCCUCACCAACAGACAGCAAGCAUGCCAGAAGUAACGUGCAGCUUAGACUGCUUCAGCUUUCUUAUAUCCAGCUACUACACUGUGAAUAUGCAUCAGCAUAGCAGGUCUGCAAGAAUGUCUGCCUCUAUGAUGGUGAUGUCUACAGGAACUGAAUGUGCUAUGUAGUGUCACCUUGAAGUUGUCUGUUUGAGAUAUUGAAGUCUAAACCUUCCUAGUACUGCUUCUGGAUGUCACAAGAGUAGAUACAAGAAAGCAGCAUGUCAUCUAUGGAGCAGCUGUGGUAGGAGCAACCUUUGACAGACCUUGAGCGUCUAUAUAAGUGUGACUUUCACCGAGGGACGAUGCCCUCCAAGAAGAGCUUCACCAGGCCAUCCGUUGAGCUUUACUACACAUAGACCUGAGGUGGAGCCCUGGCCAUUUAGUACUUGCAUUGCUUGUCCUGAGACCCUGAGGUCAGUUCCAGCUGUGUGGAGAUUAACUGUGAAGCACCCUAACAUCGAGAGGUCUAAAACAUGAAUAAAGACAGUUAGAAAGAAUUUUCUGUGAAAUAAAAAUCUUCCUAGCUUCCAA